UACGAAGGGGGCUAGCGUUGCUCGGAAUUACUGGGCGUAAAGCGCACGUAGGCGGUCUUUUAAGUCGGGGGUGAAAUCCUGGAGCUCAACUCCAGAACUGCCUUCGAUACUGGAAGACUUGAGUCCGGGAGAGGUGAGUGGAACUGCGAGUGUAGAGGUGAAAUUUCGUAGAUAUUCGCAAGAACACCAGUGGCGAAGGCGGCUCACUGGCCCGGUACUGACGCUGAGGUGGCGAAAGCGUGGGGAGCAAACA
rnacentral:rRNA from 1 species